GCCGAAGUGGCGGAAUUGGCAGACGCGCAAGGUUGAGGGCCUUGUGAGAGUAAAAUCUCGUGUGGGUUCAAAUCCCACCUUCGGCAC
rnacentral:tRNA from 1 species